CGGGUGAGUAACACGUGGGUAAUCUGCCCUGCACUCUGGGAUAAGCCUGGGAAACUGGGUCUAAUACUGGAUAUGACCUUUCUCCUUAUGGGGUUUGGUGGAAAGUUUUUCGGUGUAGGAUGAGCCCGCAGCCUAUCAGCUUGUUGGUGGGGUGAUGGCCUACCAAGGCGACGACGGGUAGCCGGCCUGAGAGGGUGAUCGGCCACAUUGGGACUGAGAUACGGCCCAG
rnacentral:rRNA from 1 species